rnacentral:misc_RNA from 1 species
GAUGUAGAACGUAGCGAAAUGCGAUAAGUAAUGUGAAUUGCAGAAUUCAGUGAAUCAUCGAAUCUUUGAACGCACAUUGCGCCCCUUGGUAUUCCGAGGGGCAUGCCUGUUCGAGCGUCAUUAUAACCCCUCAAGCUCAGCUUGGUGUUGGGGCCUGCCGCACGGGCAGCCCUUAAAAUCAGUGGCGGUGCUAUCUGGCUCUAAGCGUAGUAAUUCUUCUCGCUAUAGAGUCCCGGUGGAUGCUUGCCAUUAACCCCCAAUUUUCUAUGGUUGACCUCGGAUCAGGUAGGGAUACCCGCUGAACUUAAGCAUAUCAAUAAGCGGAGGA